AAUGAACGCUGGCGGCAGGCCUAACACAUGCAAGUCGAGCGGAGCGGCGGACGGGCGAGUAAUGCCUAGGAAGCUGCCUGGUCGUUGGGGAUAACGUCAGGUAAGGGGCGCUGAUAUCGCAUCCGAUCUGAUGAGACUAGGUUGGAUUAGAUAGUUGGUAGGGUAAAGGCCUACCAAGGCGACGAUCCGUAACUGGUCUGAGAGGAUGAUCAGUCACACGGGAACUGAGACACGGUCCAGACUCCUACGUGAGGCAGCAGUGGGGAAUAUUCGACAAUGGGCGAAAGCCUGACCCAGCCAUGCCGCGUGUGUGAAGAAGGUCUUCGGAUUGUAAAGCACUUUAAGUUGGGAGGCGUUACCUACAGAAAAAGCACCGGCUAACUUCGUGCCAGCAGCCGCGGUAAUUC
rnacentral:rRNA from 1 species